rnacentral:rRNA from 1 species
GAUCAUGGCUCAGGACGAACGCUGGCGGCGUGCUUAACACAUGCAAGUCGAACGAAGCUUGAGGAAAGAUUUCUUCGGAAUGAUUCUGAUAUGACUGAGUGGCGGACGGGUGAGUAACGCGUGAGCAACCUGCCCUUCGGAGGGGGAUAGUGUCUGGAAACGGACAGUAAUACCGCAUAAAGUUAGGAUAUGGCAUCAUGACCUAACCAAAGAUUUAUCGCCGAGGGAUGGGCUCGCGUCUGAUUAGAUAGUUGGUGGGGUAACGGCCUACCAAGUCGACGAUCAGUAGCCGGACUGAGAGGUUGAUCGGCCACAUUGGGACUGAGACACGGCCCAGACUCCUACGGGAGGCAGCAGUGGGGAAUAUUGCACAAUGGGGGAAACCCUGAAUGCAGCAACGCCGCGUGGAGGAAGACGGUUUUCGGAUUGUAAACUCCUGUUCUUAGGGAAGAAGACAGUGACGGUACCUAAGGAGCAAGCCACGGCUAACUACGUGCCAGCAGCCGC